rnacentral:rRNA from 1 species
AUUGAACGCUGGCGGCAGGCUUAACACAUGCAAGUCGAGCGAGCGGCGGACGGGUGAGUAAUGUAUGGGAACCUGCCUGAUGGCGGGGGAUAACUACUGGAAACGGUAGCUAAUACCGCAUACCAUCAGAUCUGCCCAUAUGGGAUUAGCUAGUAGGUGGGGUAAUGGCUCACCUAGGCGACGAUCCCUAGCUGGUCUGAGAGGAUGACCAGCCACACUGGAACUGAGACACGGCCCAGACGCCUACGGGAGGCAGCAGUGGGGAAUAUUGCACAAUGGGCGCAAGCCUGAUGCAGCCAUGCCGCGUGUGUGAAGAAGGCCUUCGGGUUGUAAAGUACUUUUAGCGAGGAGGCGGUACCCGCAGAAGAAGCACCGGCUAACUCCGUGCCAGCAGCCGCGGUAAUAC